GAUGAACGCUGGCGGCGUGCCUAAUACAUGCAAGUCGAACGGGGAGUAGCAAUACUCUUAGUGGCGAACGGGUGAGUAACGCGUUGGUACCUGCCCCGAAGCGGGGGAUAACGGACCGAAAGGUCCGCUAAUACCCCAUGUGCUCGGUAACGAGUAAAGGUGAAAACCACUUUGGGAGGGGCCUGCGUCCCAUCAGCUAGUUGGUAAGGUAACGGCUUACCAAGGCGAUGACGGGUAGGGGACCUGAGAGGGUGGCCCCCCACAAUGGAACUGAAACACGGUGCAUACACCUACGGGUGGCAGCAGUAGGGAAUAUUGGGAAUGGGCGCAAGCCUGAACCAGCAACGCCGCGUGUGCGAUGACGGCCUUCGGGGUGUAAAGCACUUUUGACUGGGACGAGGAAGGACGGUACCGGUAGAAUCAGCCUCGGCUAACUACGUG
rnacentral:rRNA from 1 species